rnacentral:rRNA from 1 species
UACGUAGGGGGCAAGCGUUGUCCGGAUUUAUUGGGCGUAAAGAGCGUGUAGGCGGCUAGGUAGGUCCGUUGUGAAAACUCGAGGCUUAACCUCGAGACGUCGAUGGAAACCAUCUAGCUAGAGUCCGGAAGAGGAGAGUGGAAUUCCUGGUGUAGCGGUGAAAUGCGCAGAUAUCAGGAAGAACACCCGUGGCGAAGGCGGCUCUCUGGGACGGUACUGACGCUGAGACGCGAAAGCGUGGGGAGCGAACAGG